rnacentral:miRNA from 1 species
UGGAACUUGUUUUGAACAGG